UAAGUUGUGGCUCAGUGGUAGAGGGCAUGCCUGGCAUGCAUGAGGCCCUGGGUUUGAUCCCCAGCACCUCAA
rnacentral:tRNA from 1 species